CGGAGCGUAGCGCAGUCUGGUAGCGUAUCAAGCUGGGGGCUUGAGGGUCGGGGGUUCAAAUCCCUCCGCUCCGACCA
rnacentral:tRNA from 1 species